UGCCAGACUCCUACGGGAGGCAGCAGUCGGGAAUAUUGCGCAAUGGAGGAAACUCUGACGCAGUGACGCCGCGUAUAGGAAGAAGUUUUUCGGAAUGUAAACUAUUGUCGUUAGGGAAGAGAAAGGACAGUACCUAAGGAGGAAGCUCCGGCUAACUACGUGCCAGCAGCCGCGGUAAUACGUAGGGAGCGAGCGUUAUCCGGAAUUAUUGGGUGUAAAGGGUGCGUAGACGGGAAAUUAAGUUAGUUGUGAAAUCCCUCGGCUUAACUGAGGAACUGCAACUAAAACUGGUUUUCUUGAGUACUGGAGAGGAAAGUGGAAUUCCUAGUGUAGCGGUGAAAUGCGUAGAUAUUAGGAGGAACACCAGUGGCGAAGGCGGCUUACUGGACUGUAACUGACGUUGAGGCUCGAAAGCGUGGGGAGCAAACAGGAUUAGAUACCCCCGUAU
rnacentral:rRNA from 1 species